rnacentral:rRNA from 1 species
GACAGAGGGUGCAAACGUUGCUCGGAAUCACUGGGCGUAAAGCGCGUGUAGGCGGAUUGGUAAGUCAGAUGUGAAAUCCCUGGGCUCAACCUAGGAACUGCACCCGAAACUGCCAACCUUGAGUGAUGGAGAGGAUAGUGGAAUUCUCGGUGUAGAGGUGAAAUUCGUAGAUAUCGAGAGGAACACCAGUGGCGAAGGCGGCUAUCUGGACAUCAACUGACGCUGAGACGCGAAAGCGUGGGGAGCAAACAGG